AUGCUGGGCCCCCCAGCCUGGAGAGCACGUGUGUGUGGGAGGGGCUUUUGGACCGGGGCUGUGUCACUGUGGUAUAUAAUAACCACUACUACUAGCAUAUGCCACAGUGGCACAGACCCUGACAAAAUCCCCUGUCUCCCCUCACUGGAGAUUCUGCAGCUCCAGCGGCUUCUCUCAGGGAAGACAGCUGCAGCCCUCUGCAGGGAUCCCUCGUCUGCUCCAGGCUCCCUGCACCAGCCCGGAACACACUCUUUGUCCAGGGACAAGAUACAGCACGGAGACUCUCCUCUCUCCAGUAGGGUGGACACUUCCCUGAGGCUCUUGGUGGGGUCUCCGGGCCUCCACACCUACAUCCCAAGGAGGAAUUUCUCCUGUUCUAGCAGAGAGAGGACACCGUGGCCAUGCACUCACACACACAAGUCUGACCUGGAGCAGAGGCCACUUACCGCGGGCGUGGAACAGAUGCUGCUCGGAGCCUGGGGACAAGCUGCACGAAACGGGAGGAGAGCCUUCCCUGUGGAUGCGCACGAAGCAAAGCUGCCCACGGUGCUGUCCCUGGCCAUGGUGAGGGCCAUCUCGUGGUUUGGGCUUGGGCUUUCCUGCAGUGGCCUCCCUGGUGGUCUCUCUUUUACUGUCUUGGGAGGGCUGGGAAGGGUGCUGGUCUCAGGGGUGGUCCUAUCUCUUCAGGCAUGA
rnacentral:lncRNA from 1 species